rnacentral:rRNA from 1 species
AGGUGGUAGAGCGAAGAGAUUCAAUCGACUCUGCAGUAAUGCAGAGAGCCUGCACAGGUGCUGCAUGGCUGUCGUCAGCUCGUGUCGUGAGAUGUUGGGUUAAAGUCCCGCAACGAGCGCAACCCCAUUGCCAGUUGCUAACAGGAGAGCUGAGCACUCUGGCGAGACUGCCGCCGACAAGGCGGAGGAAGGUGGGGAUGACGUCAAGUCAUCAUGGCCUUUAUGCCCAGGGCUACACACGUGCUACAAUGGCCGGCACAGACGGCAGCUUAGUGGCGACACUUGGCAAAUCCUCUAAAGCCGGUCCCAGUUCGGAUUGCAGUCUGCAACUCGACUGCAUGAAGCCGGAAUCGCUAGUAAUCGCAGAUCAGCCAAGCUGCGGUGAAUACGUUCCCGGGCCUU